CCAAUGGAGAAUCCGAGCCAUAUUCCCCUCUUUGCGGUCCAUUUCCCAACUGAUUCCACAUUUUCAACCUUAACGGCAACGAAAGGGCAGCUUCGGAAAAAAAAAAAAACAAACCUCUGUUAUGGACCGGUAAUUAAGAUUAUCCCUAAUCUUGGACCGGUAAACAUGGUUUGGGUCAACAGGGACUUAGCAUUAUACAGUAGUCAAGGGGAGGGUCGGGAAUUAAUUUACGC
rnacentral:lncRNA from 1 species